rnacentral:rRNA from 1 species
GAUGAACGCUGGCGGCGUGCCUAACACAUGCAAGUCGAACGAAGCGUUUCACCCGAUUUUUACGGAAAGAGGGAGAAAUGACUGAGUGGCGGACGGGUGAGUAACGCGUGGGCAACCUGCCCCAUACCGGGGGAUAACAGCCGGAAACGGCUGCUAAUACCGCAUAAGCGCACAGCGCCGCAUGGCGCAGUGUGAAAAACUCCGGUGGUAUGGGAUGGGCCCGCGUCUGAUUAGCCAGUUGGCGGGGCAGCGGCCCACCAAAGCGACGAUCAGUAGCCGACCUGAGAGGGUGACCGGCCACAUUGGGACUGAGACACGGCCCAA